rnacentral:rRNA from 1 species
UUAUCAAAAACAUGUCUUAAUGUUAUAUUUUUAUAUUAAGUCUAGCCUGCUCAAUGAUUUAUAUAAUUAAAUAGCCGCGGUAUCUUGACUGUGCGAAGGUAGCAUAAUCAUUUGUCUUUUAAUUGAAGGCUUGUAUGAAUGGUUGGAUGAGGGAAUUACUUUCUUUAUAUUAAGUGUUGAAUUUAAUGUUUUGGUCAAAAAGCUAAAAUUUUUAAAUGGGACGAGAAGACCCUAUAGA